GGGUCCUACGGGGUAGGUGACUUGCUAAGUGCCUUCCUCUGAUCUCAGAGAGUUGAAAAUAUUUUUUCCAUCUGUCUCUGUGCACUUUCCAGAGGUCUGUGUUUACAAAUAGAGUGCAGAGUCUGAGAUACUGUUUAGUAUAAUUCCAAUUCUUUUAUGGCCUUAUUUAUGCCUUUCAGCAAUAUAGACCAGGACAGAAUCAUCACUGAAAGCUUCAUCUGUUUGGAAUCAAAAAUGUGAAAGACCUGGAAAUUAAAUCAAAAGAAUAGCAGAAUAAUCCUCCUCACUGACAAAUGGGGCUGCUCUAAUCAUCUUCACUGAAUGGUAACUUUCUCCUUUUCACCGAGUUUCUCAGGCUGUGAGAGAAACAACAUUUCACUCUGUGGCCCAGGCUGGAGUACGGUGGCACAAUCAGCUCGCUGCAGCCUUGAACUCCUAGGCUCAAGCAGUCCUUCCACCUCAACCUCCCAAGUAGCUGAGACUACAGGUGAGCGCCGUCUCAACCCUCAUCCAGCUAAUUUUAAAUUUUAUUUUAUUUUUUCUAUAUUUUAUAGAGAUGGGGUCUCUCUAUGUUGCCCAGUUUGGUCUCAAACUCCUAGCCUCAAGCCCAUUCUCUUGCCUUGGCCUGCUAAAUUGCUGGGGUUACAGGCCGGAACCACCAUGCCCAACUUGUUAGUGUCUUCAUUAAAACUUUCAAAUUUCAGAGAAAAAUAUAUUAAUCAAGUCUCAGAAUAUCAUCAAAAUUAUUAAGGCAAGCUGUCUUUCAAAUAAAUUCCAAGAAAUUUUUCAUUUAAACUGCUUUACUUUGUUUUCUUUGUAAACAUGUACAGCUUAAUUAGAGUGUGUUUGACUUAACAUCUGGAUAAAUGUUACAUUUUCGCAAAUUGGCCUAUAUGGACAAAAAAGAAAUCUGUUAUUAGUAUAUUACACAAUAACUAAGUCGUAUGUGGUUUUAAACAACAGCCAGGGGAAACAUACCUGUCAUAAAAGCAUUAUAUACAUUACUUCUACUGCUUGGCUAGCAGAUAUUCAGACACAAGGGUUAAAUAUUUUCAAGUAGUUUCUCAUGAGAACAGUUUCUCCUGAGAUAAAUAGAUAAAGGAAGAACUAAAUGGUGAAGAAAAAAUAGUAAUAAUUUUGUAAUAAACUUGUAAUUUUUGUAAAAAUUAGUAAUAAGUUUGUAUUUACUAUUUAUGACACUAAGUUUCUGUUUGCCGUUGAGUUCUAUUGAGGAUUUGAUGACAUUAAGGAAGCCAUUUGCUUAUGGAAUCACUCUCAUCCUUUCUCAUAUGCUCAUCUCCCAGGAGAGUUCUUCUUCUGAAGAUCUCUCAUCUACAG
rnacentral:lncRNA from 1 species